rnacentral:lncRNA from 1 species
CUUCCACGUGUGCAGGGUUCAGCAUCCUUGGGGCCUCAACUCCUUAUCCAUCCUGGGCCGCUCCUCUGCAUACGAGCAGUAAGCUCUCUCCCCGGGGUCCUGGCCCCCUACCUUCACGCCCC